rnacentral:rRNA from 1 species
AGACUAAUACCCAAUGACGUCUCUAGAAGACAUCUAAAAGGGAUUAAAGAUUUAUCGGUGAUGGAUGGGGAUGCGUCUGAUUAGCUUGUUGGCGGGGUAACGGCCCACCAAGGCGACGAUCAGUAGGGGUUCUGAGAGGAAGGUCCCCCACAUUGGAACUGAGACACGGUCCAAACUCCUACGGGAGGCAGCAGUGAGGAAUAUUGGUCAAUGGACGAGAGUCUGAACCAGCCAAGUAGCGUGAAGGAUGAAGGUCCUACGGAUUGUAAACUUCUUUUAUAAGGGAAUAAACCCUCCCACGUGUGGGAGCUUGUAUGUACCUUAUGAAUAAGCAUCGGCUAACUCCGUGCCAGCAGCCGCGGUAAUACGGAGGAUGCGAGCGUUAUCCGGAUUUAUUGGGUUUAAAGGGAGCGCAGACGGGUCGUUAAGUCAGCUGUGAAAGUUUGGGGCUCAACCUUAAAAUUGCAGUUGAUACUGGCGUCCUUGAGUGCGGUUGAGGUGUGCGGAAUUCGUGGUGUAGCGGUGAAAUGCUUAGAUAUCACGAAGAACUCCGAUUGCGAAGGCAGCACACUAAUCCGUAACUGACGUUCAUGCUCGAAAGUGUGGGUAUCAAACAGGAUUAGAUACCCUGGUAGUCC